rnacentral:lncRNA from 1 species
CCAAAAUAGAACCCACCCACCCGCCACCCGACCAAGAUUCAUCUCCGGCUAUGAAGUUACGGUACAAGCGAUUGUUUGGACGAUUCAUACCCAUUUCAAUUUUCCCACUUAUUUUUUCCAGAAUUGCGUUUGGUCUUCAAUUUUAAUGGGGUUGAUUGCGUCUUUUACUUUCCAGAAUUGCAACUGGUCUUCAGUUUUUGUUGAGAUUGUUUAUGGUUUCCGUAUAGCCUGUAGAACCACCCAGCCAUCUAGUGUUUUCUUUCAUGAUUGCAGUUUCUUAAUGAAGUGAAAUCUGUUAAGUAAUUUUAAUAUUAUUACAUAAGAAACUCAAACAGAAGACCCAUCUUGAUAUAACACGCUGUUUCACCUGAAUGUUAGGAGGAAAGUCACUCUCAUAAACUUAUUUGGUCCAUUAUUUACUCUAGCUUGGAGGUUCAACCAAUUAUUCUACAUCUCUUUGUUCUUCCCUAUAUACAGAUUCUUCAUAUUAUGUGCAAGACAAGCAAAUAAUAGAGUAAGGUCAACAAGGCAAUCCUAUUUAAUCAUAUUUUUAGUAGUGAAAAUGAACUCUUAUCAGGAUUCAAUUAACCAAGCUUGCAGUCCAAAUUAGACGAAAUUAAGUGUUUUUGGUUGAUGGAGUGCACUAGAAUUUUUGGUUGAUGGAAUGCACUAGAAGAUUAAAUGCAAGAACAACAUUUUACAACAGCUUCUUGUUUUACCCAGAAAGUAGCAUAGCUAUGGAAGGUCCAUUUCUUUAACUUGACUAUUAUUUUUGGAAGGCAGUUGGGCUACAGUUUGAAGAAAAUGAAGCUUGCCACUGAUUGCUAUUAUAUCAAGAAGUCGGGCUAUAUGUAAUUUGCAUGUGCAAGUUUUCUAUUCUCAGUUUAAUUUUCCGUUGUUGUUAAUAUUGGACAUGUAUAAGUUGGAAAAGAUGUAAUUUAACUUAUAUACUUAAGGGCCUGUUUGGGAGUUGUGUUAAAUUCUCAGUUAGAAAAAUCCAACAACUUUUGUUUCAGGAUUUCAUUUUCCUUUGUUGUUAAGUAAUUUGUAAUUUUUUGUUUAGAUAUAUGAGAAUAUUGCGGCAACUGUU